rnacentral:lncRNA from 10 species
AGAUGCCAGUAGCACACACUCCCCAUCACCCCCAGUUGUGAUAAUCAAAAAUGUCUCUGAUAUUGCCAAGUGUCCCCUGAGGGACAGAGCACCUGUGGUUAAGAACUCCUGAUCUGCAAGUUCACAUAUUUAAAUGUGUCCAUAAACAUGACGGUCAUGAUAAUGGGCCAGGACUCUGUGCCAGGCAGUGCUUGGAGUGGGGGUGGUGGGGGGAAUUAGGAAUUAUAAUAAAGUUUUUAAAGGAAUGUGUAAGACAUGCUCCAAAGAGAGAUGUCAGCAGAGCUAUACCUCUGCUGGAAAAUCCUCAAUGACUUUAACCAAGUCUUGGCAUCACUGUGCAAAGGGCUUAGAACCUACUAAACCAAUGACCUUAAAACACAGGGCAGGGCCGGGCGUGGUGGCUCACGCCUGUAAUCCCAGCACUUUGGGAGGCCAAAGUGGGCAAAUCACAAGGUCAGGAGUUCAAGACUAGCCUGGCCAAAAUGGUGAAACCUUGUCUCUAUUAAAAAAACACAAAAAAAUUA